AGUGGGAACUGUUGUUUUUCAAGCAAUAAAUAUCCCCCUGCAGUGUUGGCAGCCAUAAUAUGGCAGCUCUGACAACCUGAUAGUGAAACUCAUUCUGGUAACAUGAAACAAGACUGAUGUUAGUGACUUUCUACAGCUAAGCUGAGAGAAACAGUCAAAAAAGGUGCAGAUGUGCUAGUGCAUGGAAGGGGCAGAGCAAACACCAUUUGCAAUUCAAGUGCCAGUAGACCCCAGAUGAGACUGUCUUGUAACCACUUCCAUGGUAUUAUGCAGCUUGAUUAAAGGUAAAAAUUAUCCCUCCAGUCUGAUGUUUUCCAGUGACUACCAAAGAUGUGACUCUAAGCUCUCACUAAUGAAAACAUCAGCUCUCCUCAAGGCAACAGAGGCACACACUGACAUCAAACCACUGAAAUGGCACCAAAUCAAACUGGACUCUUGGAGUUGGCCAUCACAUAGUCCUGGUCUCAUCUGAUAAAGGCCAGCCACAGCUGUGCUGUCUGUAUGUGAAUUCUGGGCUGCCAGCAGGGACAGACAUGAUGCAUGGGGGCUGCUGGGUUGAGCUGUGCAUGGAGCAGAUGUUCAGACACUGCAGCUCAGAAGGAUGCUGUUGGCAAGUGAUCAAUCUGCAGCAGGUACUGGGGUGCCAGGGAGAUGGCAGGUGAUUGAGCAGGGCACUUUCCCAGAGCAGACAGAAGAGUUCCUCCCUGCCUGGCAUAACCCUCACCUGCCAAUAACCCACAGGUGUGGUGGGAGUGUUGGCACACGGACAAAAGAAGGUCCCACUCAAAGUUUCUUCUCUCUGUUGUGUUCCUGCCUGAAAAGUGAUGCCACAUGGAAAAACAGUGGCAGUGCAUUCAAGUUGGGUGAGUUUUAUCUCACAGAAUUCACAUUUUUUUUAAUUUGUAAAAGAGUUAUGCUGUUGCUGGAGUGAUGCAAGGAUAUCUAUGGGAGGAUCUGGAUAAUCAGGCUCAAGCUCCUUAAGUGUCACAACUUAUUGAAGUAUCUAGCUCUCUGCUGUUUAAAGAGGGGCCAGAGACAGUGAGACACAUGAAUUUUAGACAGACAGACUU